rnacentral:lncRNA from 1 species
AUGGACAUCUGCAGAAGAGCUCCUCUCUGCACCUUCUCCUGCCACCCCAGCUGUCACACCCUGAUCCUCUUGGAAUCCCUGCUCCCUGCCAUCUUCAGCCUCAGAGGAACCCCUAGGAAAUCAAGCCAAUUUCCCCAUGGCAGGUGUGGACCGACAGCUGCUGCCUCUGCUGCUGCUUCAGUGGUGUGGAAUUCAAAUCUCUGGUGGGUGUUUAGAGCCUGCAGAUGGAUUAGCUGAUGAUGCUUGUCCAUCAGCAAGCUUUGCAGUGUCCUGCUGAGCAGGGGUGGGGGCAGCUCCAAAACCAAGCUGUCUUGGAAGACCAAGUGAGCUUCCACACAUCACCUGGCCUCUGGGGUUAGCACUGUGCAGAGCUGGGCUACUCUAGGUUUCUAGAUGGAGCUUUUCAUUGUAUAAAAGUCAGCUUUCCUCAUCAUAGUUGGUACAGAAUGACCUGUUCUCUGCAAGGUCAUGCCACACAACAACCACCAGCAAAUAAAAACCCAAAACCUAGUGAUUCUACAUGGUGGUCUUUGAGAGUUGACCAUAGAUCUAGAGGGAGAAGCUCACUGGUGCUUCAGUGGGUGUCAGUGAACCAAACACAGGGGAUGCAGCUAAGAUAACAGAAGGAUAGGAGCAGAAAUUUCGGCUAAAAUUUUAUGGACACAAUCAGUCUGGCUUCCAGUGUAAUAUAGCAGUAGUAUAACCCCUACAUAGUACAGGGGACCCCGGAGAAACAGACAUUCUAUGAAAUGAGUGGGUGACUUGAUUACAGUAGUGGCUUAAUCUCAAAAGGAGUGGAUAGGUUGGCCAAUUCACUGCACUCACCAGGAGACCAUUGAAAAAGCCAUGGACCCAAGUGUGUCGCAAGAGUAGAGUACAAGCUUCUGGGCUCGUUAGAAUGUGAAGGUAGCAGGAGGGCUGUAGGGAGGACCAUGAAAUUCGGAAAGCUACAGGACUCUAAAAAGAUUCUUUUUCCUUAUGGUUCUCGGGAUUGAACCCAGGGCCUUGCACAUGAUAGGUAAGUGCUCUACCACUGAGCUACACCCCAGGCCUCAGUGUUUCAUAAUCUGUAAGAUGAAUAGGAGUAGGGUGGUCCAGCUCAGCAGAGGGCUUUUCUAGGAGCCACAUGAAGUAGCUGCAUUUCUGCUUCCAGGACUUCCCAGCAAAAUGGAAGCAGCUAUAUGGAGGAAGAUGAGGUUAAACUCCUAACUCUGAGAAUUUGGGCAGCAUUGGAAAGUAUCACCUGGAAGGGAGCAGAGUUCUCUCCAGAUUGUAAGGAAGUAUAGAUGAGUGUUUUUGAAGGCUUACAGGUAUGAAUGGGGUCAGCCUUAUUUCAAGGAUAAAUGAAC